rnacentral:lncRNA from 1 species
GCCAGGGCAAGUUUAAUUUACGAGCUUGUUAUACUCAUAGCUGAAUGUUACUUUUGGCAAAAAGAAUGUUUACAAUGUUGUUGUUUGGACAAAUUACAACUAUUUUUUCUUGAGGGCCUGGUCCACCACUCCUGAAAGGAAAAGACUGUCACUCCUUUCAAGAGAAGGGGCCCUCUUUCUCCCUGCCUGCGGACAUGUAACAACCAUCUGACUUUCUGGAGGACUUGUCUCUCAAGAAACCUGUGUGACUUUUGGCCUGAAAAAAUAUCCCUUUGCCUUCACCUGAAGCUAGCCAGGAUGAGAAAAGCAGCAGACAUUCAGUAAGUACAGACUGAGCCAUGCUUAAUCAAUGAUUUAAGUCAAAAGCAAGAAAUACUGUGUUGACCUGAAACUAUGGGGGACAUAUUUUGAGAAUAUGGAUAGCUAUUACACAAACUGGAGUUUGGCCAGGGUGCUGAGACUAACAGUAUUGUGACAAGUGCUGUGGGUGCCUUAGUGUCCAGAUGUGGUGUGACCCUGCUUUUAUGCCUUGCAAAAGGCAGCAGUAGUCUGUGGUGCACCCCGUUCCCACUUUUAGUAGAAUAUCAAGUGAGUCAGUUUAAUUGAUGGUAUGACUCCGCACAUACAUAUGUACCUAGACUGAGCACCUUUAACAAAUUAAUGUAACGAGCAUACGGAGAGCUGCAGCUCCAGGACUUCAAGUUCACUUUGAACUGUAUUCACAGUACGCACUGUCAACAGUUUCCCUGCCAAAGCCAUAAACUAUCUCAGCGGGGUAGACUAAAUACACCUCUUUACAAAGGACAUGAAUCUCCCCUUUGGAUUUCUCAGCUAUAACAUAGAGGGACAGAGGCUUAGCUGGUGUAACUCAGCAUAGCUCCAGGGCAGCCGGGGAAGCACCCGAUUCCUAUCAGCUGGCCCCGAGGAGAAAGACCAGAGCUGAGUAUAGAAGAUGAAAGGUAAACCCUGUGAAAACAUUUUCUGAAACCUCCUGUGAAUUAGAUUUAAUAACACCAUAGCAUGGGGAAGUAUCCAAGCUUCCAUCAAAUGCCAAAAUCUUACUGCUGGAGAUUAAAGUGACAGUUUUUUUAAAAAGAGCGAGAUACAGAAAUGCAAACUUCGGCUAAAUGAAGUAAUUCCUUUUAAGACUAAUUAAUGCCAAUGUUUGUUUAAUCUCCAAAUUCCAUCACGUGCCGCAGGAGUGCUGUGCUUUUAUAGAUUGGGGCAGUGCAAAACACAUUCCGUAUCCAAGAAAA